CAGCCGCCACGGUAAUACAGAGGUCCCGAGCGUUGUUCGGAUUCACUGGGCGUAAAGGGUGUGUAGGAGGUUGGAUAAGUCAGGUGUGAAAUCUCAGAGCUUAACUCUGAAACUGCGCUUGAUACUGCUUGGCUAGAGGAUCGGAGGGGGUAACGGAAUUUAUGGUGUAGCAGUGAAAUGCGUAGAUAUCAUAAGGAACACCGGUGGCGAAGGCGGUUACCUGGAAGAUUCCUGACUCUGAAACACGAAAGCCGGGGGAGCAAACGGGAUUAGAGACCCCAGUAGUCCCUGUCUCUUAUAC
rnacentral:rRNA from 1 species